AUUGAACGCUGGCGGCAGGCUUAACACAUGCAAGUCGAGCGGAGCGGCGGACGGGUGAGUAAUUCCUGGGAAUCUGCCUGGUAGUGGGGGAUAACGUCCGGCAACGGGCGCUAAUACCGUACACUAUUAGAUGAGCCUAGGUCGGAUUGGCUAGUUGGUGGGGUAAAGGCCUACCAAGGCGACGAUCCGUAACUGGUCUGAGAGGAUGAUCAGUCACACGGGAACUGAGGCACGGUCAGGACUCCUACGGGAGGCAGCAGGGGGGAAUAUUGGACGAUGGGCGAAAGCCUGAUCCAGCCAUGCCGCGUGUGUGAAGAGGGUCUUCGGGUUGUAAAGCACUUUAAGUUGGGAGGCGUUACCAACAGAAUAAGCACCGGCUAACUACGUGCCAGCAGCCGCGGUAAUUC
rnacentral:rRNA from 1 species